rnacentral:lncRNA from 1 species
CAAUAAAGUACAAUGCUCAAUGAUUUUACUUAAUACUGUCGGAUCAAUGUUGUACAAUCCAUUUAAUUAACAAACCAUAUGACUAAGGCUUGUUCUUUAUUACAACAAUUCAUAUAUAUAAGAAUUCCUUAUAACCAUAUAUAUGAACUCUUUUGGCAUUAUUAAUAAGUUCUCGCGCACCUCGUAGCCUCGGUGCAGCCACGAUGGUAUUUAUUAGCGAUCUGGCUGGGACGACAAUUGUAGUCAGAGCCAUCGAGUUUGUUGCACCGGAUGUUGUCCGUCCUUAAUGUGCGGUAGCUAAUGUAGGGCGAUUUAUACAGUUGCCUGCGGGUGGAUUCAGAUCCCAACUUCAUCUCCUCAUCGACAUCAAUUGAAUGCUCAACUUUUUUAGAGUUGGGAUCAAUGGAAUUUGUAUUGUCAUGUCCUGAUGAUGAUUGUAUCACCAUGACAAAACCUAGGAGACAAAGAAAAAGUAACACCACACGUGAAGUCAUUUUGUUAGAGGAAAUAGUAAAAUGCACAACAAAGAUAAUCAAAAAUGAAACCUUUUUCUGAUAUUUUAU